rnacentral:rRNA from 1 species
AUUGAACGCUGGCGGCAGGCCUAACACAUGCACGUCGAACGAGUGGCGGACGGGUGAGUAAUGUCUGGGAAACUGCCCGAUGGAGGGGGAUAACUACUGGGAACGGUAGCUAAUACCGCAUACCAUCGGAUGUGCCCAGAUGGGAUUAGCUAGUAGGGGGGGUAACGGCUCACCUAGGACAAGCGCCCUAGAUGGUCUGUGAGGAUGACCAUCCACACGGGAACUGAUACACGGUCCAUACUCCUACGGGAGGCAGCAGGGGGGAAUAUUGCACAAUGGGCGCAAUCCUGAUGCAGCCAUGCCGCGUGUAUGAAGAAGGCCUUCGGGUUGUAAAGUACUUUCAGCGAGGAGGCGUUACUCGCAGAAGAAGCACCGGCUAACUCCGUGCCAGCAGCCGCGGUAAUUC